AACGAACGCUGGCGGCGUGGAUAAGACAUGCAAGUCGAACGGAAUUACUUUUGUAGCAAUACAGAAGUAAUUCAGUGGCGAACGGGUGCGUAACACGUGGGCAAUCUGCCGAAAAGUGGGGGAUAGCUCGCCGAAAGGCGAAUUAAUACCGCAUGUGGUGAGGGACGACAUCUUCCUGAAUCCAAAGCCGGGGCAACCUGGCGCUUUUUGAGGAGCCCGCGGCCUAUCAGCUGUUGGCGGGGUAACGGCCCACCAAGGCUAUGACGGGUAGCUGGUCUGAGAGGACGACCAGUCACACUGGAACUGAGACACGGUCCAGACACCUACGGGUGGCAGCAGUCGAGUAAUUUUUCUCAAUGGGGCAACCCUGAAGGAGCGACGCCGCGUGGAGGAUGAAGGC
rnacentral:rRNA from 1 species